rnacentral:rRNA from 1 species
UACAGAGGUCUCAAGCGUUUGUUCGGAUUCAUUGGGCGUAAAGGGUGCGUAGGUGGCGGGGUUAGUCAGGUGUGAAAUCUCGGAGCUCAACUCCGAAACUGCACUUGAUACUGCCUUGCUAGAGUGCUGGAGAGGAGAUUGGAAUUUACGGUGUAGCAGUGAAAUGCGUAGAUAUCGUAAGGAAGACCAGUGGCGAAGGCGGCGAUCUGGCCCAACAUUGACACUGAGACCCGAAAGCGUGGGGAUCAAACAGA